GCUGCAACUCGCCUACAUGAAGUCGGAAUUGCUAGUAAUCGCGGAUCAGCAUGCCGCGGUGAAUACGUUCCCGGGCCUUGUACACACCGCCCGUCACACCAUGGGAGUCGGUAACACCCGAAGCCUGUAGUCUAACCGCAAGGGGGGACGCAGUCGAAGGUGGGAUUGAUGACUGGGGUGAAGUCGUAACAAGGUAAC
rnacentral:rRNA from 1 species